ACAUAGGUGGCGAGCGUUAUCCGGAUUUAUUGGGCGUAAAGAGUGCACAGGUGGUUUAUUAAGUCAGUUGUUAAAGAUCGAAGCUUAACUUCGAUUCACAUCUGAAACUAGUAAGCUAGAAUACAGGUGGGGGCAAUGGAAUUCCAUGUGUAGCGGUGGAAUGCAUAAAUAUGUGGAGGAACACCAGUGGCGAAGGCGGUUGCCUGAACUGUAAUUGACACUUAAGCACGAAAGCGUGGGGAGCAAAUAGGA
rnacentral:rRNA from 1 species